GAAUGAGACAGCUGAACCGGACUCCACGGCCUCGGGUUACAGAACCGCGGUUCUUGUCCUUCUCGGUUGGUUUGGAGUGCGAAAGCUUGUUCUUUGGGCGGCGAUCUCCGGACUUGCCGGGAAGAACAGAAUAUCUCAUAUCUGGUUACAUCAUUUAACAGACGAAAAUGAGUGCAAUUCUUACGUCAAAAUGCUCUACAGUUGGCCGUUCAUUGAUGUGAAGCUUUGGCAACCAUUUCUUAGGAGACAAAGAACCAAAUGCAAUAGUUUCGCAGUUGAAUUACAAGAAUUUUUGGCACAGUAAUAACUAUAUUGGUUCCCGGUUCCCUUGAAUUUGAGUGCCAUCAGUCUUUUGGACAUUCCCGGGAGACAUCUGCCCCAUCGUUAAGCAACAAAGAACAUUCUUACAGAUGAGGAUCAACCUCAAGGUGGUGGACAACUCUGGUGCAAAACAGGUCAUGUGUAUGCAAGCUUUGAUAGGAAGGAGAGGGGCAAGAUUGGGUGAUUGUAUCAGUGAAGGAAGCACAGCCUCGUGGUAAAGUGAAGAAGGGGGAUGCAGUGUAUGGCAUUGUGGUGUGUGCUGCCAUGUAGAGGGGGCAAUGUGGUGGCAGUGAGAUCAAGUUUGAUGAUAAUGCAGUGAUCCUUGUUAACAAACAGGGAGAGCCAGUCGGUACCUGUGUCUUUGGGCCAGUGCCACAUGAAUUCGGGAAGAAAAAACACGUCAAGAUUUUAAAUUUAGCUGAACAUAUAGCCUGAGGCAUCUAUGGGGUGCUCUAGCGUCUUGUCAGGUUCCGACUUAUAUUUUGAGAUUGUUUUCUAUUGUUUGAAGUCAGAUUUCUUAUGUUUUGAGCAUUGUCACAGUCCAUAAAUAAGUGUUUUUUGAUUGAGAAACAAUGUAUUAAUGUGCUUGAUGAAUUUUUUUUAAUCUCUCGACUCAUAUGCCAAUAAUUUGGGUUAUUCUAGGAGAGACUUCUUGUGUGAAUAAUUUGCAUACAAAGAUCAAAAUAUAA